rnacentral:rRNA from 1 species
GACGAACGCUGGCGGCGUGCUUAACACAUGCAAGUCGAACGGAAAGGCCCUGCUUUUGUGGGGUGCUCGAGUGGCGAACGGGUGAGUAACACGUGAGUAACCUGCCCUUGACUUUGGGAUAACUUCAGGAAACUGGGGCUAAUACCGGAUAGGAGCCCCUGCUGCAUGGUGGGGGUUGGAAAGUUUCGGCGGUUGGGGAUGGACUCGCGGCUUAUCAGCUUGUUGGUGGGGUAGUGGCUUACCAAGGCUUUGACGGGUAGCCGGCCUGAGAGGGUGACCGGCCACAUUGGGACUGAGAUACGGCCCAGACUCCUACGGGAGGCAGCAGUGGGGAAUAUUGCACAAUGGGCGGAAGCCUGAUGCAGCAACGCCGCGUGCGGGAUGACGGCCUUCGGGUUGUAAACCGCUUUCGCCUGUGACGAAGCGUGAGUGACAGUAAUGGGUAAAGAAGCACCGGCUAACUACGUG